GAACUGUGCGGCGUCUGCAUCUCAAACGAGCCUAAUCAUUUGUUUCCUGUACCUAGGUCAAUACAAAAUGAACGAAUCACUCUCUGAGUCAACUCGUUCCCGAGUCAUAUUGAAGAUUCGUUCGAUUGACCCAUGACUAAAAUCAAUGGCGUGUUUACCUUGGUGGAUUUGGGUGCGAAAUUUUAAACAAGGAGAUAGAACAACAUGAAAUGUUAUACCAUAGAUUUGAAACGCGCUAAAUAGUUUCUCACAUUUAGCCUAGCUACUCAUACUACUAGUACUACAUUUGGAUUUUGAUAAUUUAAGGACCGAAAUGUAAUGCCUUUUGAUGAUUGAAAAUCGUCUUUAGGUUUGUGAGGAACCGAUUUAUUUUGUUUUACCGAUAUGGAUACAGUCAGCACAGAAAUAGAUGAUGUAAAGGAGUUUAAUUUCUAUAUAAUUUCCUUUGUAUUAACUGUAACUUUACCAUGAACUCCAUUAACUCGGAUCAACACAGCCAGGCGCGCACACAAUGGAGUUGAUUAUUAAAACUGGAAUGACUCUACUAGUUACAUGCUAUACAAAGGCACGGGUAUAUGUAACCCGCCCUCUCUCUGAGCCUCUGAAGGAAUUUGAUCACACUCUUUCCUCAUUAAACUAGACUGGAAACGUCGCCUUAGAUGGUGUCGUUGAGUUUCUAGAAAACAGGUAGACUACCGGGAAACACAAACGGACAAAGGAUUUGCUCGUGGUCACGGAUGUCUCAUGAAUAAGUGAAUAUUGUGGGACGAUGAAGCGUGCAGCGGGUGAUCAGAAACCACCUUUGGCUCCAAAACCAAAGGUUCUCCCAGCACCAGUGCAAACAGAACGUCCACCUGCUUCCAAGUUGUGUGUUUACCAACAUACCUCACCAGCUGUUAAAAGUAAAGUUAAGCCUGAUGUAGCACCAAAACCAUGCCUUUUCAAACCUCCCCCUCCUUUCGAUUCAAAACAUCUCACAUCCGAGGAGGGCCAUCAGCCUAUUUUACAACAAAAGUCUGACAUCACAAAGAACGUUGGUGUUCUAAAUUUCAGAAAUGGAAUGCACACUGGGAAUAACAAGCCGGAGUGGGAUUACAUAAUUCCAAUUUGUGUAUGCAAUGACCGAAAUUGUGCUGAUUGCUCACCAAAGGAAAACAACCAAAAUGUUAAUCAACAUGGGAACAGCCUUGAUCCAUGUAAACCAGGAAAUGCCAAAAGUCCCAAAAAGAGUUCAUCCAAAUCUCCGCCGAGAACACCAGAGGAAGAAAAGCAUUUGGUGACACCUACUUUGUCAAAGUGCAUCUCUGGACACACCUCGUCCAAUAAUAAUCAUUUCCAUCCAACUGAAAAACCUCAGAGAACAUCCCAGAUCCAGAACAAGGAGCCUUUGAAGGAACAUCAGAGUGGUUCUGAGAUGCAAGCGACCAGGAAACACCAAAAGAACCUUGUCUCUAGUGUUAAUUCAUCUGUUGAUAGUGGUCAAACACCAGAGUCUAUAAAAUGUCAGCAAACUGCAAGUAGUGUGCAGUGUAGUCCAUCCCCUACUAAGCCUCUUAAGAAAGCACCACCAGUAGCCUUACCACGCAAAAAAAAGAUGGCACAACCCAACGUUAUCAAUCAGGAGUCAGCGGGCCUUACCAAGACAGAGUUUACUGUUUUACCUGUUGAUGUAAACAAUCCAGAUCCAUUAUGGAGAGAAAGUCCUAAUGAGAUGAACAUCAAUGCUGUAAGACAUUCUAGAGAGAACAAAGAUCCUCAGGCCAUAAGGAGCUUUGAAGGUACCCAGUGUAAGAGCCAGGGCACCCCAGCACCUGUCCCACAACAGAGGAUCCCUAAGCUGCAGCAAAAUAAAAAGCAAGUUGGUGUACAGGGGACUGAGAAGAAAGUACAAAAUCUGAAUGUAUCUCCUGAGGUAUCAAGCAAUACCCAUCUGAAGAAGUCAUCCCAGAAACCUCAACCUGAUGCCCGUAGGCACGAUAACAUUGGGUCUACAGAACCUUCAGCAGAUAGACUUCCUAAAAAGACUCUGUCAUUCAAAAGUCCACUGAGAAAUGAUGGUCACAUUGACGUAAAAAAUCCUGAAGGACAUCCCCUUCUCGCAUAUGAAGGACAAAUUGCCAAUCAGAACCAAGCAAGUGAUGUGCCAAACAAAAAGACAAGCUUGACUCUCAACCCUAAAUCAAAGUCCUUCUCCUCAGCAGAUAUACGUAAACCUGAUGGCCUCAAGAAGACCUCAAGAAGACCUGAUGGCCGUAGGCACGAUAACAUUGGGUCUACAGAACCUUCAGCAGAUAGACUUCCUAAAAAGACUCUGGCAUUCAAAAGUCCACUGAGAAAUGGCCACAUUGACGCAACAAAUCCUGAAGGACAUCCCCCUCUUGCAUUUGAAGGACAAAUUGUCAAUCAGAACCAAGCAAGUGAUGUGCCAAACAAGAAGACCGGCUUGACUCUCAACCCUAAAUCAAAGUCCUUCUCCUCAGCAGAUAUACGUAAACCUGAUGGCCUCAAGAAGACCUCCUUUCUAAGGAUCAUGGACCUUGACCCUGUCAAAAAGGUUCCUAAGUUAUCUGUCAAGAGUGGGCACUCCCUUGACCUCACUCCAGUUAUGAAUGAGCAGUCAGUGGAUACAGAGGAAAGCCAGAAUGAAAUCUGCUCUCAUAAACUGGCGUCACUGCACAGUGGUCACCUCGGUGGGAAUAUACUAGGAGUUGAGCAGAGUGUAGAUGAAGAUCUUGCAAAACAUCUAGAGAAUGCUGGUGAAUCUAUACAUGAAUAUGAAGAUAUUCCAGAAUAUGAAAACCUGCCUCCUUUUAGCACUGCAAAGGCACAGGAUGCCAAUGAUAACCAAAAUCAGUCAACCAUGUAUGAAGAUGAUGGUAUUUAUGAAAUUCCAGAUGUGCUCCCUGAACACUGUGCAGACACCAAAAAGCAGCAGUUUCUUAAAAGAAAUGUGUUGGAAGAAGUGCAAGAAUUGGAGGAGAUGCAUUCGGAAGAAGAUGAACGUAGCUCAGAAGAGAAGAAUAACACCAUCAAUAAAGAAAAACAGACUGAAACGAAGAAGACCAAUGUUGAGCACAUUGUAAAUGAGAUCUUGUCUUCUGAGAAAAUAUUUGUGCAAGUACUGAAGCUCCUUCAUGUAGAUUUUCGUGAAGCGGUACUGAAGGCCUCAUGUCAGGCGGGAAAAGCCGUAAUCGAUGAGCGAGUCGUGAAGCAGAUCUUGUGCUCUUUGCCUCAGCUGUACGAGCUAAAUUGCAACCUGUUGAAAGAGCUGGAAGAACGGGUUGCUCACUGGAACAAGCAUUGCGGUGUAGCGGAUAUAUUUGUGAAGAAAGGACCUUAUCUUAAAAUGUACUCCACUUAUAUUCGUGAGUUCGACAAGAAUGUGGCACUUCUUGAAGAGCAUUGCCGGAAAAACCCAGCAUUUGCCAAAGCUGUCAGAGAGUUUGAGAGCAAUCCAUGCUGCGCUAACCUUGCAGUGAAACAUUACAUGCUUAAACCUAUCCAGAGGAUUCCACAAUAUCAACUUCUCCUAACUGAUUAUUUGAACAAUUUAGAUGAUGAAUCCCCAGACUACAGAGAUGCAGAAGCUGCCCUAGUGAUAGUAAAGGAGGUGGCUAAUCAUGCAAAUGAAUUCGUAAGACAAGAGGAUAACUCCCAAAAGCUCUAUGAGGUUCAGUGCCGCUUAAUUGGGAAUCACGUGCUUGUCCAACCAGGAAGGGUUUUGUUAAAGGAAGGGAUCUUGAUGAAGCUCUCCAGGAAAGGGAUGCAGCCUCGAAUGUUCUUCUUAUUAAACAAUAGUCUUCUUUGUACCACGCCAGUAGCAUCGGGCAAUUUCAAACUGAACCACAUACUGUCAUUGGCUGAGAUGAAGGUUAGUAAACCUAGUCAAGAGGGGUAUCAAAAUGAGCUGAACAUUGAGAGUGUUGAACGAUCUUUCAUUUUAUCUGCUAGCUCUGCUGCAUGUCGAGAUGAGUGGCUACAGGCUAUUUCUACUGCAAUCGACGAUUAUACCAAGAAAGAGACCACCUUCACCUCAGUUAGAAACCCUGAAAUGACAACCCAAGACGUUGUGGAUACUGGGGACCAGCUAGGAAACAAAGCCCCAAUAUGGAUCCCAGACUCAAGAGCCACUAUGUGUAUGAUCUGCACCUGUGAGUUCACCCUCACCUAUAGACGCCAUCAUUGCAGAGCCUGUGGGAAGGUUGUUUGUCAGGCCUGUUCAACCAACGAACAUCCACUGAAAUAUCUGAAGAAUCACCUCGCUCGAGUUUGCGAUCACUGCUUCUCCAUUUUGCAGCAGAACAGUUCAGCAAGUCCCCUGGUUCCUUUCCAUUCAGAAAGCAGAAGAAAAUACCAGCAGCCCUAAAAGAGGUUUCAGCUAACACAGAUGGUUCCUCGAUGAGCGGCUACUUGGAGAGGACGAAAGCCAACAGGAAACAGUGGAAACGGUUCUGGUUUGUCAUCAUGAACAAAGUUCUGUACACUUAUGCUGCCAGUGAGGAUGUAGCAGCUUUGGAA